rnacentral:tRNA from 1 species
GAGGGUAGAGCUCAGUGGCAGAGCAUGUGCUUAGCAUGCACGAGGUCCUGGGUUCAAUCCCCAGGACCUCCA